rnacentral:rRNA from 1 species
GGAUCAUUAAAAAAAGAGUUGCAAGACUCGAAAACCAUCGUGAACAUACCUCUCGUCGUUGCUUCGGCGGGCUGCUCGUCAGGGCGCCCGCCGGAGGACCACCAAACUCUGUUUUCUUAGCGUAUCUCUGAGUGGACUACAAAAAUGAAUCAAAACUUUCAACAACGGAUCUCUUGGUUCUGGCAUCGAUGAAGAACGCAGCGAAAUGCGAUAAGUAAUGUGAAUUGCAGAAUUCAGUGAAUCAUCGAAUCUUUGAACGCACAUUGCGCCCGCCAGUAUUCUGGCGGGCAUGCCUGUCCGAGCGUCAUUUCAACCCCUCAAGCCCUGCUUGGUGUUGGGGCCCCUACGUGCGCCGUAGGCCCCGAAUUCCAGUGGCGGGCUCGCCGCGAACCCGAGCGUAGUAGCUUUUGCCUCGCUCAGGGCCCGCGGCGGGCGCCUGCCGUGAAAGAACCCACUAAGACACAAAGGUUGACCUCGGAUCAGGUAGGAAUACCCGCUGAACUUAAGCAUAUCAAUAAGCGGAGGAAAAGAAACCAACAGGGAUUGCCCCAGUAACGGCGAGUGAAGCGGCAACAGCUCAAAUUUGAAAUCUGGCCUCGGCCCGAGUUGUAAUUUGCAGAGGAUGCUUUUGGCGCGGCGCCUCCCGAGUCCCCUGGAACGGGGCGCCACAGAGGGUGAGAGCCCCGUAUGGUAGGACGCCUAGCCUGUGUAAAGCUCCUUCGACGAGUCGAGUAGUUUGGGAAUGCUGCUCAAAAUGGGAGGUAAAUUCCUUCUAAAGCUAAAUACCGGCCAGAGACCGAUAGCGCACAAGUAGAGUGAUCGAAAGAUGAAAAGCACUUUGAAAAGAGGGUUAAACAGCACGUGAAAUUGUUGAAAGGGAAGCGCUCGUGACCAGACUUGCGCCGGGCCGAUCAUCCGGUGUUCUCACCGGUGCACUCGGCCCGGCUCAGGCCAGCAUCGGUUUUCGCGGGGGGAUAAAAGCGCCGGGAACGUGGCUCCUCCGGGAGUGUUAUAGCCCGGCGCACAAUACCCUCGCGGGGACCGAGGCCCGCGU